CAGCUAUUGCCACUGAUGAAAAUUUUUUUGGAAUAGACACCAGCUCAGGAAAAAUCAGCCUUAAAGCUGCUCUGGAUUAUGAGGCUAAACAUGUGUAUGUACUGACUGUUGUCGCAACGGAUGGUGCUGGUUCUAAAGGAACAGGAACUGUAACUGUGUCUGUUUUAGAUGUUAAUGAUAAUGCACCCACCUGCCCCCAGUACACAUAUGUCAAAAGUGUGUCUGAAAAUUCAAGUCCUCAAGUAAUUGUUAACAGUCUUGGCUGCACUGAUCCUGAUGGCACCGCUAUAACAUAUGCUCUUUCAAUAUCUUCUGGAACAUCAUUUUCAAUCAUAAGCACUGACAAAGUGAAUUUAGACUCUGACCUAGAUUAUGAGGCUACUUCCUCCUACACCCUGACUGUGAAAGUUACAGAUGCUGGCACACCAGUGUUGACUAGCACAGUCAUCAUAUAUGUUGAUGUUAUCAAUGUCAAUGACGGUGCUCCAACAUUUUCACCCACAACACAGACAGUUUCUCUUGAUGAAAACGUUGCCGUUGGCACAUCAG
rnacentral:sRNA from 1 species